AGGUUACUGCUAUCGAGGUUCGACUAAGCCAUGCGAGUCGAAUGUAGCAAUACAUGGCGAACUGCUCAGUAACACGUGGACAACCUGCCCUUAGGACGGGGAUAAACCCGGGAAACUGGGUAUAAUACCCGAUAGGUCUCGAUUGCUGGAAUGCAUCGAGAUUUAAAGCUCCGGCGCCUAAGGAUGGGUCUGCGGCCUAUCAGGUAGUAGUGGGUGUAGCGUACCUACUAGCCUACGACGGGUACGGGUUGUGAGAGCAAGAGCCCGGAGAUGGAUUCUGAGACACGAAUCCAGGCCCUACGGGGUGCAGCAGGCGCGAAAACUUUACAAUGCUGGCAACAGCGAUAAGGGAACCUCGAGUGCCAGGUUACAAAUCUGGCUGUCGAGAUGCCUAAAAAGCAUUUCAUAGCAAGGGCCGGGCAAGACCGGUGCCAGCCGCCGCGGUAACACCGGCGGCUCGAGUGGUAACCGUUAUUAUUGGGUCUAAAGGGUCUGUAGCCGGCCGGAUAAGUCUCUUGAGAAAUCUGGCAGCUUAACUGUCAGGCUUUCAGGAGAUACUGUCUGGCUCGAGGCCGGGAGAGGUGAGAGGUACUUCAGGGGUAGGGGUGAAAUCUUGUAAUCCUUGAAGGACCACCAGUGGCGAAGGCGUCUCACCAGAACGGACCUGACGGCAAGGGACGAAAGCUAGGGGCACGAACCGGAUUGGAUACCCGGGUAGUCCUAGCCGUAAACGAUACUCGCUAGGUGUCGGCCACGGUGCGACCGUUGUCGGUGCCGUAGGGAAGCCGUGAAGCGAGCCACCUGGGAAGUACGGCCGCAAGGCUGAAACUUAAAGGAAUUGGCGGGGG
rnacentral:rRNA from 1 species